ACUGGCUCAGGGGAAAAGCAAAGAAGAAAAGGUGGAAGCCUUUCCAGAACAGAGGGUGGACCUGAUUCAACAGUGUAUCUCCAGUGGCAAGGAGGAAGCCUGCCUGUCACUCAGUAGGUGUUCACGAAAUGUUGGAGCGAAUGAACGCCCGCCUGUGUUUCAGGUAGCAGCCACCAGAUGGCAACAGUGUUCUUUGGGCUAUGAAGGUAAACGGUUGGAAGAAUGCGUCUCCAAAGAGGCAACCCCCUCAUGGAAGUGGCCAUAUUUUUCUGUCUGGUUCGUCAGGCUACCUAGAAACCAGGGAAAUUGCCAAGAAUUAGGUCCCUGGCUUCCCUGUUCAAGAGCCCCAGUCGUGCCAUGGAAUCAUCUCUAGUCCAGAAUUGUCAAGAAUGAACAGUCAGUUCUCCAAAGAUGUUGAUGUUUUCAAAGACGUGGGAAGAGUCUGUUCAUGCCUUUCUGUCCUUCUCCAGUGGGGAUAAUUUGGCUUUCAGACUAAUUGAAAGGCACAGCUCUUUUUUUGAAACAUCUACUGAGAACAGCUUUAUCCCUGUCACCCACACCACACCUCGGCUCGUGAAUCUUAGACUCUUGGGAGACAUCUAUUCACCUCAGAUGUGACCCAUUAUCCACUGUAACAAAGAAUGGCUGUGUGUGCAGGGUAUACACAGAUUUGUACCCAUUAGAGGCAAGAAAUGAUGUUUCCCUGUAAAAGGAGAUUUUUAAGAAAUGUCAGUAUUUUCAGGUUGAAUCCAGUCAAAAAUAAGUUCUUUCAAAUUCUACUUACGCGAAUUCAAAUUAAAUUCAGAAAUUAAAACCAAAAGGCUGAGAUCAUUCAAUUUAAAUUCAUGUGACCUCAGUCUUUUGAUUUUGCUUUUCAGACUGAUAUAUGUGUAUAGACAGAAUCUUAAAGACACCAAGCUUUCCUUGGGGGACGGAGUAAAAUUGACACAGGUUUUAUAAACAUUUAAUUCUUAUGAGACACGGGCCCAGACUAGCUGGCGUAGUUUGGGUAUGUGUGAUAGUUGGUUUUCACUCUGUUAUGAUUUGCUUUUAAAUAUUUAUUUGUGAAAUAUAAAUCUUGCUAACAUUGAAGUCUGUUCUGAAGCAAUGACUACUGCUUUUGCUGUUGCUUAAUGGAACUGUUGAAUCUUCUUAGAAAACAAAAAGAUUCAGUUAUAUAAACAAAUCAUACUAGUGAAGCAUCAAAUAACAAUUCUAGAGCCUCUGUGAGGCUGGAGCUACGUUCUGCAGAUGGGUGGUAAGUUAGGAACCCUAAGAUAACAGCCUACGUGGUCAAUCAAAAAAAAAAAUGUGAGUGACUCAAAAAUGCUGAGAAAUUAGGGUCUGUGUCCUUAAAUAACAAGCACUCACUUGAAAAAUUGGAAAAAUAUCACCAGUUUCAUCAGUACAUUUAUAGAUUCCUUUUCCAUUGAUCCAUUCCCAUUGCUAAUACACCUGUUAUGUAAUAGAUGCUUACUCACUGUUCUGUCCAGUCCAACAGAUAACGACACUUCCUGGUGGACGGCUCUGAUUUUCUGUCAGUCAGAAUGAUGAUUUAGAAUGUUCAGCUCAUUCAGUAAAACAGACUAGUUCUGAGCGUAAAGGCUGAAGGACAUCAAAUGUACAACUGUUUUAAAUGAUCACUUUCCCACGAGUGAUGAAUUUACAUCCUAUAUGCUGUCAACAUGAACCAUGACACUCAUGGCCGUGGGGGACCCCCUGUCUGGGGACUAGCUGGGAGAGCACACCCUUUCCUACCUUGAAUGUAUGAAUAAAUUAUUCACAGCUA